GGUUAAGCGACUAAGCGUACACGGUGGAUGCCCUGGCAGUCAGAGGCGAUGAAGGGCGUGCUAAUCUGCGAUAAGCGCCGGUAAGGUGAUAUGAACCAUUAUAACCGGCGAUACCCGAAUGGGGAAACCCAGUGUGUUUCGACACACUAUCAUUAACUGAAUCCAUAGGUUAAUGAGGCGAACCGGGGGAACUGAAACAUCUAAGUACCCCGAGGAAAAGAAAUCAACCGAGAUUCCCCCAGUAGCGGCGAGCGAACGGGGAGGAGCCCAGAGCCUGAAUCAGCAUGUGUGUUAGUGGAAGCGUCUGGAAAGGCGCGCGAUACAGGGUGACAGCCCCGUACACAAAAGCGCAUGUGCUGUGAGCUCGAUGAGUAGGGCGGGACACGUGGUAUCCUGUCUGAAUAUGGGGGGACCAUCCUCCAAGGCUAAAUACUCCUGACUGACCGAUAGUGAACCAGUACCGUGAGGGAAAGGCGAAAAGAACCCCGGCGAGGGGAGUGAAAAAGAACCUGAAACCGUGUACGUACAAGCAGUGGGAGCACCCUUUGGGGUGUGACUGCGUACCUUUUGUAUAAUGGGUCAGCGACUUAUAUUCUGUAGCAAGGUUAACCGAAUAGGGGAGCCGGAGGGAAACCGAGUCUUAAUUGGGCGUUAAGUUGCAGGGUAUAGACCCGAAACCCGGUGAUCUAGCCAUGGGCAGGUUGAAGGUUGGGUAACACUAACUGGAGGACCGAACCGACUAAUGUUGAAAAAUUAGCGGAUGACCUGUGGCUGGGGGUGAAAGGCCAAUCAAACCGGGAGAUAGCUGGUUCUCCCCGAAAGCUAUUUAGGUAGCGCCUCGUGAAUUCAUCUCCGGGGGUAGAGCACUGUUUCGGCUAGGGGGCCAUCCCGGCUUACCAACCCGAUGCAAACUGCGAAUACCGGAGAAUGUUAUCACGGGAGACACACGGCGGGUGCUAACGUCCGUCGUGAAGAGGGAAACAACCCAGACCGCCAGCUAAGGUCCCAAAGUCAUGGUUAAGUGGGAAACGAUGUGGGAAGGCCCAGACAGCCAGGAUGUUGGCUUAGAAGCAGCCAUCAUUUAAAGAAAGCGUAAUAGCUCACUGGUCGAGUCGGCCUGCGCGGAAGAUGUAACGGGGCUAAACCAUGCACCGAAGCUGCGGCAGCGACACUAUGUGUUGUUGGGUAGGGGAGCGUUCUGUAAGCCUGUGAAGGUGGCCUGUGAGGGUUGCUGGAGGUAUCAGAAGUGCGAAUGCUGACAUAAGUAACGAUAAAGCGGGUGAAAAGCCCGCUCGCCGGAAGACCAAGGGUUCCUGUCCAACGUUAAUCGGGGCAGGGUGAGUCGACCCCUAAGGCGAGGCCGAAAGGCGUAGUCGAUGGGAAACGGGUUAAUAUUCCCGUACUUGGUGUUACUGCGAAGGGGGGACGGAGAAGGCUAUGUUGGCCGGGCGACGGUUGUCCCGGUUUAAGCGUGUAGGUGUGUGUUCCAGGUAAAUCCGGUUCACUUUAACACUGAGGCGUGAUGACGAGGCACUACGGUGCUGAAGCAACAAAUGCCCUGCUUCCAGGAAAAGCCUCUAAGCAUCAGGUAACAUCAAAUCGUACCCCAAACCGACACAGGUGGUCAGGUAGAGAAUACCAAGGCGCUUGAGAGAACUCGGGUGAAGGAACUAGGCAAAAUGGUGCCGUAACUUCGGGAGAAGGCACGCUGACACGUAGGUGAAGUGAUUUACUCAUGGAGCUGAAGUCAGUCGAAGAUACCAGCUGGCUGCAACUGUUUAUUAAAAACACAGCACUGUGCAAACACGAAAGUGGACGUAUACGGUGUGACGCCUGCCCGGUGCCGGAAGGUUAAUUGAUGGGGUCAGCGCAAGCGAAGCUCCUGAUCGAAGCCCCGGUAAACGGCGGCCGUAACUAUAACGGUCCUAAGGUAGCGAAAUUCCUUGUCGGGUAAGUUCCGACCUGCACGAAUGGCGUAAUGAUGGCCAGGCUGUCUCCACCCGAGACUCAGUGAAAUUGAACUCGCUGUGAAGAUGCAGUGUACCCGCGGCAAGACGGAAAGACCCCGUGAACCUUUACUAUAGCUUGACACUGAACAUUGAGCCUUGAUGUGUAGGAUAGGUGGGAGGCUUUGAAGUGUGGACGCCAGUCUGCAUGGAGCCGGCCUUGAAAUACCACCCUUUAAUGUUUGAUGUUCUAACGUGGACCCGUGAUCCGGGUUGCGGACAGUGUCUGGUGGGUAGUUUGACUGGGGCGGUCUCCUCCUAAAGAGUAACGGAGGAGCACGAAGGUUGGCUAAUCCUGGUCGGACAUCAGGAGGUUAGUGCAAUGGCAUAAGCCAGCUUGACUGCGAGCGUGACGGCGCGAGCAGGUGCGAAAGCAGGUCAUAGUGAUCCGGUGGUUCUGAAUGGAAGGGCCAUCGCUCAACGGAUAAAAGGUACUCCGGGGAUAACAGGCUGAUACCGCCCAAGAGUUCAUAUCGACGGCGGUGUUUGGCACCUCGAUGUCGGCUCAUCACAUCCUGGGGCUGAAGUAGGUCCCAAGGGUAUGGCUGUUCGCCAUUUAAAGUGGUACGCGAGCUGGGUUUAGAACGUCGUGAGACAGUUCGGUCCCUAUCUGCCGUGGGCGCUGGAGAACUGAGGGGGGCUGCUCCUAGUACGAGAGGACCGGAGUGGACGCAUCACUGGUGUUCGGGUUGUCAUGCCAAUGGCACUGCCCGGUAGCUAAAUGCGGAAGAGAUAAGUGCUGAAAGCAUCUAAGCACGAAACUUGCCCCGAGAUGAGUUCUCCCUGAGACUUAGAGUCUCCUGAAGGAACGUUGAAGACGACGACGUUGAUAGGCCGGGUGUGUAAGCGCAGCGAUGCGUUGAGCUAACCGGUACUAAUGAACCGUGAGGCUUAACCUU
rnacentral:rRNA from 1 species